AAGGAGUGAAGGACAAAUUUGUCAAAAACAAGAGAUAUGGAUGCAUCAUGGAGUGUUACCCCAUGAAUUAAUGUUAGAAAUCAAACAUAAUAUUCGAUUGGUUGCUAUUCUAACUCUAGAUAAUAGUUGAACGAUGAUGUUAAAGCAAUGUAAUAACUUACAAACUGGAUCCACAAUGAAGAUCUUAUCGUUUUCUACACUUAAUAUAUUAGAGAGAAUUA
rnacentral:lncRNA from 1 species